UAUGAAGAAGAGGAUCAUCGAUGUUAAAAUUCCAUGCACCAGGCUUACAAAGAACUUCUUAUAGUUGAAUAGUGCCCAGUCCGUCCUGAAGUGUCCCGUCAGCCCGAGGCUCCUACCUGGUCAAGCAGCCCCAUGAGGAGCACGGGCAGGCUGGAGUACAGCACGUUGUAGAGCGUGAUGAACCAGUCUUCGUACGCAGUCUGUGAGGAGAUUACAGAGUCGCCGUGUCACAAACCAAGACCUAUUGCCCGCCUAGUCAACAUGCAUUCAUCUCUCUCGGAGUGGGGAAGGCCCCAGGCUGUGUGCAGCUUCUGCCAGAGUAAACACCCCUCAUCUGCAUCUGCCCAAGCUGUGAGCUGGGUUCAGUGGAAUGGGCAGAAUCAAAGACCGUUCCACAGAAACAAACCUUCUUUCUAACAAAAAUGGGAGAAUAUACACGAAAACCUUUUUUGGAAAAGGAGUCCAUUCUGUUUGAAUAAUGCUGGAAAAUACGUUGGUGCUGAUCCUUUUUAUAUCCCUUUAUUAAUGAAUUAGAAGACAUAAAACCGAAAUUGGUUCAAAAAGCACAUAAGAGUACCCAUUGAAGAAGGAGUACCAGAAAUGAACCAAAGUAAAUGCAAAGUUUUUAUAAAAGAAGUAUCGUAGGAACUUGCACAUCCUUAUGUAAGACCACCGGCCAUGUACCAACAACAGUCUCUGCAAGUAUCUGAACUGGGCAAAGGAGUAGUCACUUGACAUGACAGCUUGCAUGCCUUCUUGUCCGCUUAUUCCAACACCAAUGUGGGCAGCUGUGGGACAGAGGGAGAAGAUAUGUGAAUCGUAAGCUAAUUUUAAGGCGAAAUAUUUAAGUGAUAAAAAUGUUUCCACAGCAAAACAAAGAAACACAUUCAUGGAACAAUAUAUGUGAAAACUCUCUCUCACCAGCCCCACCCCAGCUUCUGAAUUCAAUGUCAGAGAUACAAGUUGCUCAAAAGAGCACAUGCUGGGGCCUCCAAAAGGUAUUUGUGGAAGGAUCUCAGGUGGGUGGUGAAUUCCAUUUGGAUUAUCUGCCCAGCUGAUAGGCCAUCCUUCCCGCCCACGGGGUUAAUCCAAGGAGUCUAUGCAGACUGUGCGUUCCUGCCUCCCUGGCCACAGCUGAGUCAGCUGCUAUUGGCAGAUACUACAAAUUGGCCCUCCCAACUUUCAUUCCACCCUUGUUCUACUGGAAAGGUGGGAAAGCACAUAAAAACCUUACAUUGCUCAGACUCCCUUGCACUAGGUUCUGUUGGUGAAUUGGGUUUCAUUGUUAGGAGCCACUUGAAGUUUCCGGAAGUAGAAGCGAACUGGGGCCCAGCACCCCUUCCCUUUUUGGCAUUUCUUCAGCAGAGUUCGUAUGCUCUCCCCAGCUGCCUGGAUGCUGAUAGACAAAAGCUCAACUGAAAAGCCCUUCACAGGAGUCUCAAAGCUAGAAGCUCCUCUGGUGAGUGACUAAGAUGUUAGAGAGUCAGGCUAGCACCUACUUUCUUCAGCCCAUCCUGAGCUUUCAUGAGCACCUAGUCCCCUGUAUUAAUCACUUCCUGCUUAAAGUACCCAACGGGGUCUGUAUCUUGUACUAACUGACUGAAAACCCAAGCUGGGGCAAUCAGUGUCUCUUUCACAUUUUGGAAUUAAGAUUCGGGCAUGUUUGUGUUUGGAAUUUUAACCUAUACAUUCUUGAGUUGUGGGACAGAUAUAUUUUUUUUCUCAGGGGUUCUGAGGGGCAGAGAAGUAAAGUCAUCUAGAAAGAGGGAGAAACCAGAAGCUGGGGUCCUGGUGCAGCUCCAGGUCCUGGUUCUAGCAUCUUCCUGAGGCGUGGCUUCUUGGGAGGCACAAAACAUCUUUUUUUUUUUUUAAUUUGGGAGAGCAGGAGUGGAGGGGAGAGGCAGAGGGAGAAGCAGAUU